rnacentral:rRNA from 1 species
UACGUAGGGGGCAAGCGUUGUCCGGAAUCAUUGGGCGUAAAGAGCGUGUAGGCGGCUUGGUAAGUCCGCUGUGAAAGUCCAGGGCUCAACCCUGGAAAGCCGGUGGAAACUGUCAAGCUUGAGUCCGGAAGAGGCGAGUGGAAUUCCUGGUGUAGCGGUGAAAUGCGCAGAUAUCAGGAGGAACACCAAUGGCGAAGGCAGCUCGCUGGGACGAUACUGACGCUGAGACGCGAAAGCGUGGGGAGCAAACAGG